ensembl:lncRNA
UCCAGAAUAACUGCUGUGAGCUUUGAUCUGUUUUUUGCUCCUCAUCUGUUCUCUAGCUGCAGGAGGAAUUCUUUCACGGGCCAGGUUUAAAUCGUUCACAUGCGACUCGAUGUCAAAGUGUUACUGCUCCACUGAAGCAAAAGAAAAUAAACUACAGGCUUUUUUCCCACUGGAGUGUUUUUUUUCCCACUGGAGUGUUUUUCUCUUUCUCUUUUAGAUCUGCUCUUUAGUAAUGGGACAUAUUCAUAUGGUUUCUUCUACCACUGUCUUGCCGAUGACCCACAACUCUUCUUCCCACCUUUCUCUGACACUAACCUCAGGUUGCUCAUCAGCAGGAAAUGUCCACAUCUUCAUCUUCAUCUCCUAUGAAGACCAACUGAGCAGUUCUUCUCAAAAUAAGUAGUUUUUAUUGUUUUAUGGUCAGUUAUUGCUCUCAUGUUGGAGGGAUUAGUCUCUCCAGCAGGUGAAAUGAGGUCUUAACAUCUCAGCAGGUGAAGUGAAACACCAGAUGCAGAAUGCAGCAGCCCAGCUUGUCAUCCAUCAUUGUGAGCGGUGGAAGGAAGUUCUCCAGCCUGUGUGUGCAGCUGAGCCAUUAAACUACUACAUUUUCACUAAACACAUAAACAAAGACUAAUAACACAACAUCCACGACCUUCUGUAACUCUGCUCCUGGUUUCAACUCCUGCUUCUGCUCUUAGACUCAAGCUGAUCUGAUGUUUGGAUAAAAACAUCUGCUUAGUACCAUUAAGUGUGUGUGUGUGUGUGUGUGUGUGUGUGUGUGUGUGUGUGUGUGUGUGUGUGUGUAUGUGUGUGUGUGUGUGUGUGUUUGUGUGUGGGAAAGUGUAGUGGACGUGGUCGUAAAAAUCAGAUCUGGACUCUUUCCCAAAAUUAAAUUCCAUUCUGUUGGAACAGAAAUGGACCCUCAAACUUAAGCCUGUCUGUCUGCCUGGUGUGAGUGUGUGUGUGUGUAUGUGUGUGUGUGAGAGUGUGUGUGUGUUUGAGUGUGUUUUUGAGUGUGUGUGUGUUUGAGUGUGUUUGAGUGUGUUUUUGAGUGUG